rnacentral:rRNA from 1 species
UACGUAGGGGGCGAGCGUUGUCCGAAUUUACUGGGCGUAAAGAGCGCGUAGGCGGAUUGUUAAGUGAGAGGUGAAAGGUUCAGGGCUCAACCCGAACAGUGCCUUUCAUACUGGCGAUCUUGAGUAUGGGAGAGGCGAGUGGAAUUUCUGGUGUAGCGGUGAAAUGCGUAGAUAUCAGAAGGAACACCCAUGGCGAAGGCAGCUCGCUGGCCUAUAACUGACGCUGGAGGCGCGAAAGCGUGGGGAGCAAACAGG